rnacentral:lncRNA from 1 species
CUCUGGUGGUUUAAUUCUCAAAUGGUAUUCUGAUAGAAAAGAGAAGAUACAAAAUUCAAGCCUCAUCACUUUGGCCAACCUUUCUCCUUCAGGGUAGGCAAAUACAGCAGCAGAGGGGAUGCACCCAGAGG